AAAAAGGGGUCCUGUUUUGUUAAUGUGAGCAAAUCAAAUUACAAGCAUCUGGUAAGUUCACAUCAACCAUAGGCCAAAAGAACUGGACAAAUGCUACUACAGCUGCAUCAAGUGAAUUCCCUUUCUCCAAUCCAACUCAACCGCUAAAACUACUACAGCAGGCUCUCUCUAGCUCUCAUGGUCAAAGUUAUAAUAUGCUUUCUAGACUCUAGCAUGAAUCUAUGCCACUAAUUUCUAGACUCUAGCAUGAAAAACUUGGUAUGAUGAAAGAAGCAAUCCUCUAUUUCCAAGAUAUCCAGUGAGGGUAUAUCUCUCACUCUACCAAAAUCUGUUGAUUCUUCUUAGCUGGCUAGAAGUUCCAAAUGGAAGUUG
rnacentral:misc_RNA from 1 species